CUACGGGGUGCAGCAGGCGCGAAACCUUUACAAUGCACGCAAGUGUGAUAAGGGAACCCUAAGUGCUUAUGUAUUACAUAGGCUUUUAUUAAGUGUAAAUAGCUUGGUGAAUAAGGAGUGGGUAAGACUGGUGCCAGCCGCCGCGGUAACACCAGCGCUCCAAGUGGUGACCAUUUUUAUUGGGCCUAAAGCGUCCGUAGCCGGUUCAGUAAAUCUUUUGUGAAAUCGUUAGGCUUAACUUAACGGCGUGCAGAAGAAACUGCUGAACUUGGAACCGGGAGGAGUUAGGAGAAUGUUAGGGGGAACGGUAAAAUGUUAUAAUCCCUAAUAGACUACCUGUGGCGAAGGCGUCUAACUAGAACGGUUUCGACGGUGAGGGACGAAAGCUAGGGGAGCAAAACGGAUUAGAUACCCCUGUAGUC
rnacentral:rRNA from 1 species